CCUACAAGCUUGGGUAUAUGAAGUUGAUUGUCACUCUUAGAAAGGGAAAGGACACCACGAUGGUAGACAUACAAUUCUUGAUAGUUCCUUGCAAAAGCGUAUACAACUGCAUAUUAGGUAGACCCUUCGCUGCGACACUUGACAUAUUGGUUUCCCCGGUACAUCUGAAAUCAAAAUACCACAAUGUUUCUGGUGAAGCAGUAUGUACCGACCUGUCAGGAUCACAUCGAAUAUACAAGCGGGAAGCAGGUGAGACUUCAACAAGG
rnacentral:lncRNA from 1 species